GGGAGUAGCUCAGUUUGGUAGAGCAACAUAUUGAGUCUUUCCGCCUAUCUCCCUUUUUUAUAAUUCAUAUUUAAUAGAUUUGGGCAGUGUAGAGAAGGAUUUCUUCGCUUUGGGUGCCGUGUGUCAUGGGUUCGAAUCCCAUCCUUCCCA
rnacentral:tRNA from 1 species